rnacentral:rRNA from 1 species
CCUACGGGGUGCAGCAGUGAGGAAUAUUGGUCAAUGGACGAGAGUCUGAACCAGCCAAGUAGCGUGAAGGAUGACUGCCCUAUGGGUUGUAAACUUCUUUUAUAUGGGAAUAAAAUGUUCCACGUGUGGGAUUUUGUAUGUACCAUAUGAAUAAGGAUCGGCUAACUCCGUGCCAGCAGCCGCGGUAAUACGGAGGAUCCGAGCGUUAUCCGGAUUUAUUGGGUUUAAAGGGAGCGUAGGUGGAUUGUUAAGUCAGUUGUGAAAGUUUGCGGCUCAACCGUAAAAUUGCAGUUGAAACUGGCAGUCUUGAGUACAGUAGAGGUGGGCGGAAUUCGUGGUGUAGCGGUGAAAUGCUUAGAUAUCACGAAGAACUCCGAUUGCGAAGGCAGUUCACUGGACUGCAACUGACACUGAGGCUCGAAAGUGUGGGUAUCAAACAGGAUUAGAUACCCCUGUAGU